GGGACGCCCUUCUUCCAGGAGUGCGCCUACCCCACAGCCUCAUCAAGAGCUUACCCAGGAGGGAGCCAGGCCAGCUCCAGAAUGUCACUUUUCUUACUUGACAUGAAGUUAUGUUCCCCCCACGCCUUCCACUUUGGGGUGUGGCCAGAGCAUCAUGCAGAAGUGGGAGCUGGAGAAAUGGAGAAAACCAUCCCGACCUUGAACUUGAACCAUCCCCACUCUCCCACGUGGGGCCGAUCUGGUGUAGAGCACGUCACUUUCUCUGCAUCGUUCAUGAAACUCAACGAAUAUAAUCCUUGGCUUCUCUGCAGUCUGUCCCAGGGGAGGUAGAGUGUGGUAUUUGGUGAAUUUGGCUCAUGUCCUUCCCAUCUUCUCACCACUUGGAACUUGCUGUCUACCGGAGGCUGGCCUUAUUCCCUGUUCUCUAGCCCCUUUGUCCACUGUGGUAACUACUGACCACCUGGCCAGUUUGAAUAGAGAGGAGUUCUUCAUGUAAAAAUUA